rnacentral:tRNA from 1 species
GCCAGCAUGGUAUAGUGGUUUGAGUGUUGGACUAUGACUCUGGAGACCAGGGUUUGAAUCCCUGCUGAGCCA